rnacentral:rRNA from 1 species
AUUGAACGCUGGCGGCAUGCCUUACACAUGCAAGUCGAACGGCAGCGGACCUUCGGGUGCCGGCGAGUGGCGAACGGGUGAGUAAUGCAUCGGAACGUGCCAUUGAGUGGGGGAUAACGUAGCGAAAGUUACGCUAAUACCGCAUAUUCUGUGAGCAGGAAAGCAGGGGAUCGCAAGACCUUGCGCUGAUUGAGCGGCCGAUAUCAGAUUAGCUAGUUGGUGAGGUAAAGGCUCACCAAGGCGACGAUCUGUAGCGGGUCUGAGAGGAUGAUCCGCCACACUGGAACUGAGACACGGUCCAGACUCCUACGGGAGGCAGCAGUGAGGAAUAUUGCACAAUGGGCGAAAGCCUGAUGCAGCGACGCCGCGUGGAGGAUGAAGGAUUUCGGUCUGUAAACUCCUGUCAGUAGGGAAGAGAAUGGACGGUACCUACUGAGGAAGCUUCGGCUAACUACGUGCCAGCA